UACAGAGGUCUCAAGCGUUGUUCGGAUUCAUUGGGCGUAAAGGGUGCGUAGGUGGCGCGGUAAGUCGGGUGUGAAAUCUUGGAGCUUAAUUCCGAAACUGCAUUCGAUACUGCCGUGCUUGAGGACUGGAGAGGAGACUGGAAUUUACGGUGUAGCGGUGAAAUGCGUAGAUAUCGUAAGGAAGACCAGUGGCGAAGGCGGGUCUCUGGACAGUUCCUGACGUGAGAACGCGAAAAGCGUGGGGGAGCAAACAGG
rnacentral:rRNA from 1 species